UACAGAGGUGGCAAGCGUUGUUCGGAAUUACUGGGCGUAAAGGGCUCGUAGGCGGCCAACUAAGUCAGACGUGAAAUCCCUCGGCUUAACCGGGGAACUGCCUCUGAUACUGGAUGGCUUGAGAUUGGGAGAGGGAUGCGGAAUUCCAGGUGUAGCGGUGAAAUGCGUAGAUAUCUGGAGGAACACCGGUGGCGAAGGCGGCAUCCUGGACCAACACUGACGCUGAGGAGCGAAAGCCAGGGGAGCAAACGGG
rnacentral:rRNA from 1 species